UACGAAGGGGGCUAGCGUUGUUCGGAUUUACUGGGCGUAAAGCGCACGUAGGCGGACUAUUAAGUCAGGGGUGAAAUCCCGGAGCUCAACUCCGGAACUGCCUUUGAUACUGGUAGUCUAGAGACCGAGAGAGGUAAGUGGAACUCCUAGUGUAGAGGUGGAAUUCGUAGAUAUUAGGAAGAACACCAGUGGCGAAGGCGGCUUACUGGCUCGGAACUGACGCUGAGGUGCGAAAGCGUGGGGAGCAAACAGG
rnacentral:rRNA from 1 species